AGAGUUUGAUCAUGGCUCAGAUUGAACGCUGGCGGCAUGCCUUACACAUGCAAGUCGAACGGAUUGAGGGGCUUGCUCCUCAGUUAGUGGCGAACGGGUGAGUAAUGCAUCGGAACGUGCCCAGUCGUGGGGGAUAACUACUCGAAAGAGUAGCUAAUACCGCAUACGUCCUGAGGGAGAAAGCGGGGGAUCGCAAGACC
rnacentral:rRNA from 1 species